UACGUAGGGGGCGAGCGUUGUCCGGAUUUAUUGGGCGUAAAGAGCUCGUAGGCGGUUUGGUAAGUCGGGUGUGAAAUCUCCACGCUCAACGUGGAGGGGCCACUCGAUACUGCCAUGACUCGAGUCCGGUAGAGGAGUGUGGAAUUCCCGGUGUAGCGGUGAAAUGCGCAGAUAUCGGGAGGAACACCCGUAGCGAAGGCGGCACUCUGGGCCGGAACUGACGCUGAGGAGCGAAACGUGGGGACAAACAGGGAUAAGAAACCCCA
rnacentral:rRNA from 1 species